rnacentral:rRNA from 1 species
AUUGAACGCUGGCAGCAUGCUUUACACAUGCAGGUCGAACGGUAACAGGGUGCUUGCACCGCUGACGAGUGGCGAACGGGUGAGUAAUGCGUCGGAACGUGCCGAGUAGUGGGGGAUAACGCAGCGAAAGUUGUGCUAAUACCGCAUACGUACUGAGGUAGAAAGUGGGGGACCUUCGGGCCUCACGCUAUUCGAGCGGCCGACGUCUGAUUAGCUGGUAGGUGAGGUAAAGGCGCACCUAGGCGACGAUCAGUAGCGGGUCUGAGAGGAUGAUCCGCCACACUGGGACUGAGACACGGCCCAGACUCCUACGGGAGGCAGCAGUGGGGAAUUUUGGACAAUGGGCGAAAGCCUGAUCCAGCCAUUCCGCGUGUCUGAAGAAGGCCUUCGGGUUGUAAAGGACUUUUGUCGGGGAGGAAAUCCCCAGCGUUAAUACCGCUGGGGGAUGACAGUACCUGAAGAAUAAGCACCGGCUAACUACGUGCCAGCCGCCGCGGUAA